rnacentral:rRNA from 1 species
GACGAACGCUGGCGGCGUGCUUAACACAUGCAAGUCGAACGGAAAGGCCCUGCUUUUGUGGGGUGCUCGAGUGGCGAACGGGUGAGUAACACGUGAGUAACCUGCUCUUGACUUUGGUGUAACUUCAGGAAACUGGGGCUACUAUCGGAUAGGAGCUCCUGCUGCAUGGUGGGGGUGGGAAAUUUUCGGCGGUCUGGGAUGGACUCGCGGCUUAUCAGCUUGUUGGUGGGGUAGUGGCUUACCAAGGCUUUGACGGGUAGCCGGCCUGAGAGGGUGACCGGGCACAAGGGGACUGAGGUACGGCCCAGACUGGUACGGGAGGCAGCAGUGGCGAACAUUGCACAAUGGGCGGAAGCCUGAUGCAGCAACGCCGCGUGCGGGAUGACGGCUUUCGGGUAGUAAAAAGCUUUCGCCUGUGACGAAGCGUGAGUGACGGUAAUGGGUAAAGAAGCACCGGCUAACUACGUG